AAAAUUUGGUGAUAAAAUUAAUAAGCUCAUUGGAGUGUCGGUUAUUCUAAAAUUCGUUAUUCAAAUGUUGAAACCAAUAUAUAGGUAUAUUUCGGCGUUUGGCAUAAUCCUUUGUCAAGCCUAGGAUGGCUUAGUAAUUCUGCGAAGAGAAAUAUCGGGCUUUGACUUUGAUUAAAACAAACAAGCUGUCCAGUGCAUUUCCUUUAUAGCGACGAUUCAAGGGAACUUCACAACCAUAGACACAGCCCACUGAGUUCCUUGCCGGAUUUUCUCAGUGAAUCGCGAUUCCGGUCAGGUAGUAGAUUCUGGGAAGCACUGCUCUUGCUGGGGCUAGUGUUAGCUAAUUCUCUCAGGCUCAGCCCGUGAGAUCACCUACCCAUCCGCGAGAAGCUGGAAUAGCCUCUUAGGCUACCAGAGAAAAGGCAGAGAAAAAUACCUUCACAGUAUAGAUGCUGUAUUGGCAAGUUGUAUUAAGCGGAAAUAGGUUAAUAGUACAAAGUCAAGAGCAACUUUAUAAACAAUUUCUAAUUUAAUGCAUAUUAAUAGUUCGUUAUCGCCGUUAAUUAGUGUUCGGAGCCCAUAGACAUCACGAGUAAUUCACCUAUCUUGAAACGUGAGGCUGAUGUAUUCAUUAUAUUAUUUAAGAGCUAUUCCGCUCUUCAAACCAGAACGCACUCUUGUUUCGUGGGCGAAAUAGGCAAGAUGGUGAUAUAUGUAUCUAUCAGUGUGGCCAUACAUUACGUCUCACACCUAUAUAGAUGUGUUAAAAUAUAUACAUGUGAUAUAACAUUUUCUUUACAAACGUGUCUUUUCUUAACUUGUUUUUGGUUUUUUAUUUGGUAAAUUCGUUAACAUUUGUCUACGUAAAGACGUUCACUAUAAUUGUACGCUUCCGCAACAACGGUAUAUUUUCAUCAAUAACAUGUUCUUCGCAGAUUAACAUAACAAAAACGCAUACCGUGUGAAAGUAUAUAAGUAAACAGACCCUGCCACCGAAAUACACGACGAUUAUCGUCCUCAAUAAUUUGACUUCAGUUAUGACUGCGUACAUUCCCACCGUCCGUGAUUUCUCCCCUAAUUUACAGGUAAAAGCAGAUAUAAGGCAAGACGUUCGAGGGGACGAAAUCAAUGGAAAUAAAGAAACAGGGUGCCAUUGUGUGCGUUUACGCAAGAGACCACGUGCGCGAUCGUUCCCACGAUAUUUAUUCAAGAGACCCGGGAAACAUAUAUAAAGGGUGUGUGGACUUCAUAACGGACCACUUCCGAAUUUACCGAGCUAUAGUACGUUACGCCCGGGGGACCGAGCCCGCGGCCCCCCGGGCUUGAAGCUAUCAAGUCUAAUUAAAAGUUGUCAUUUGUCAUUAAGUUGCUAAUUAACGGAAAAACGGUUUCAACUGUGAACAAUGACGCCACCGGAAGACCCUUUGAAGUGGAUCGGAAGUCCGUCGGAAAAUUUUCGAUAUUUCAAACAAUUGCUUUGUGCAUGUUAUAUAAUAUAUGAAAAACAAAAUUGAAAACAAAACUAUGGUGAGCCUCAGAAGCCGUUGCAUUAUUGCGAUGAAUGCGGCGAGACGUAGCAGGAUACAUUUUCAGGACAAUUUGAACAAAGAGACCAUUGGAGCGGUAGCUAAGUAGAAUUUACUACAUCUUAGACUUCCCAAAGAUAGUUUAGGCUUAGUUAGGUCUUAGUUUAAGCUUUCGCGUUACGUCUUAGAAAUAGAUUCUGUACCAUUAUGUGAAUCUUAUAAGUUGAAGUACAUCAAAUAAGUUAUGCAUUUCUGUGUCAAUAAUAUUUUAAACUUCGGUUCGAAUGUUUUAAAUCUAAAUAGCCUUAAUGAUCGGUGUUGUUUGUUUUGUUCAAGUUAAAGUUUCAUGUUUUUGUUUCACAUUAAUGUUAUGCGUUUGGAAUGAAUGUUUGUUUGUUGUUCAGUUUGUUUUGCAUUCCAACAAACUAGUUAAUUUUGCAUUCAGAGUAUACGAAAGCUGUUAUUAUUGUCUGUUUACUUUGCUUUUGAUUUACUUAUAUAAAUUAUCACCACGUCAAACUGAUUAAAGUUUAAAAUUUAAAAUAAUAUCACUCGGACCGCGGGGUACAAAUGUUUAACUUUAAAUUUUUUGUUAUUAGCUAGCUGUUGUGUUCAAGUUUGUCGCGUUGUUUUUUUUUGUUUUUUGUUUUGUUAACGUUAAUUUUGCAUUUUGUUUCUGUUAAAUUUUACAGCCGAAAAGAAUUCGUUAAGUUCACAAACACCUUGUUUUCACAAACUGUUACAUUUAAAUUUGUUCGUAGUAUUUGGAUUUUUGAUUGGUCUUGUUGGAGUGGACUUAUUACAACGAAACCGUUUCUUUAAUGUUAUUAGCUGAAGUUAUCCGUUUUAAAUUGUUGAAUUUUCGUUUGUAAAUUAUUGUUGAUUUAUUUGUUUAAACUAAAGUUGAGUUUUUGUUUGGUUAUUCGUGCUUCGUUCGUUUUGUUAACGCGUCAGACUUUUGAAGUAUUUGUGUUAUGCUAGCAUACGUUUUUCGCGACACCGUUUGUUAUUCUGAUUACCGAAUAUUAACGCUUCCUACGUUAAAACAAAGAUGAUUAUACGUAAAUUAUAAUUUGCGUAAUUACUGGUGGUAGGACCUCUUGUGAGUCCGCGCGGGUAGGUACCACCGCCCCGCCUAUUUCUGCCGUGAAGCAGUAAUGCGUUUCGGCUUGAAGGGUCGGGCAGCCGUUGUAACUAUACUGAGAUCUUAGAACUUAUAUCUCAAGGUGGGUGACGUAUUUAAGUUGUCUGUCUAUGGGCUCCAGUAACCACUUAACACCAGGUGGGCUGUGAGUUCGUCCACCCAUCAUAAAGCAAAAAAAAAACGUAUCGUGUACGUAAUAAACUAACUAAAAGAAACUUUUUUUUUGUGAAAACAGCAUCGACACUUAUGUUAAAAUGCUAACGUGCUAAUGACGUAAUAUUUUUUUAUAGUGUGGAUUCACAAACCACUGUAUGUAUCAUUUUUAUCAUCCUUGCCUGAAUACCAAAUUAAUUCCAAUUCCAACUUAGUAAUUUCGAAACUGCUUAAAUACGGCGGGCUGUUUAAUACGGAUUCGUCUGAAGAAAUUUUCUUUCUUAGGUCCCAAACCUCUAUUCUAGAAUUCGGAUAAUAUCACUUUUUACUAUGAACAAUUAAAAAAGUAAUCAAUUUUUUCUCCACUAGAGUAAUUCAAAUUUAUGAUCCAUUUUUCUUUCUUUUUCAAAAAUAUUACCAAAUGAUGUAUCGAAAAAUUGUAGUUUUUAAUCCUUCUAUGAAAGUAUGCAUUUCUGUUACACAUUAUACUAUGAAGUUAUGAAAAAUCGAUAUCGUUUUGACACGCAAAUAAUUUUGAACAGAACAUAUUCAAGUUUACCGAAGUGUGCCUUAAAGCUAAAUAUGCCUAAAACUAUUUUUUGAUCCUUUUGCGCCUCCUUACAAGGUUCUAGUAUCUACGAGAACCUUGUAAAGACGUUUUGUUGAUUUGAAAUUACCUUAGGGUAUUUUUAUUUAAGUCUAUCUGCCUGUUAACUGUGAUGACAGCCUAAUGAUUAUUUUCUUCCUUGGAUAUUAGCUCUAGUUUGAGAGUUUCUCUCUGUUUUAACUUUAAAAUUAUAGCAAUAGUUUUAAACUAGGUACGUAGAGUUCAAUACACUUAAUUCGCAGUUCACAAAUUCACAUAAGCUCCGGGAACAAAAUAUUCAUUACAACUCAUCAUAAAUUGUUCACUGUUCAGUUUUCUGUUUGUUAACGUUAUUUAGUUGUAAGCGUUGAAUUAUUGUUAAGUUUGGAUUGUGAUAUUAUCGUUAAAUCAUUUCGAUGGCUGUGUUCGUUAGUUUUACGUUAAGUUUUCGUUUUGACUGUUGAUUUGUUGUUGUUAUGCCGACAUUAAGGCCACAAUACUGACCUCUCUUGUACUAUAUUUUAAUGCUAAGUGUAGUUUAAGUAUUUUAAGUUCUAGUUGAAACUGAAGCUUGAGUAAAAUUAACGUGUUAGUUAGUAUGAUAGUAAGAUGAAUAGAGAUGUUUGAUUGUAAUCGUGUGUUUGUGUGAAAUAUAAAUUAAAAACAGCCAA